rnacentral:rRNA from 1 species
UACAGAGGUGGCAAGCGUUGUUCGGAAUUACUGGGCGUAAAGGGCGCGUAGGCGGUCCCAUAAGUCCCGCGUGAAAUCCCCCGGCUCAACCGGGGAACUGCGCGGGAAACUGCGGGGCUUGAGUUCGGGAGAGGGAAGCGGAAUUCCGGGUGUAGCGGUGAAAUGCGUAGAUAUCAGGAGGAACACCGGUGGCGAAGGCGGUUCUCUGGGCAUUACCUGACGCUGAGGAGCGAAAGUGUGGGGAGCGAACAGG